AGGGUGGUUGCAAGUCCUGAAGGUAGUCAUAAUAAAGGGCACGGGGCAGAGUUUUAAUAAAACUGGAAGAAUUUGUGAGCUGGUGAUCGUCACGCUUUUCACGUUUUACCUGUGAGCCUGCUUGGAACGAAUCAUAGAUCAGCUGGCGACAGAAACACCGCUGGGCGAGCACACAAUAGGAAGAUUUGUGCAUCCGUGCAAAUGACGGCUCGUUGGAUUUGAAGGUAACAGCUGAGUGAGAUCUACAGAAACUAUUUUGCGAGAGACUUAGGUAAGUGGGUAAAUUUAUUUGCAUAUAGGUUUUAAAAAGUUUUUCUUCUGGACAUUCUGAAGGCUCCCAACAGAGGUGAUGAGCAAUGCUUGUUUGGGCAUGGAUUUAUUAGGCGUUUGAAUUUUCACAUAUGGGCUUUGGGUUAUGACAUUGUGUUUGUAAGAUCUCACAGGACCCUUACGGUCAACAUUGCAGGAAACAACCUCCAUUGGCAAUAGCAUCUCAUGGAAAUUACUGGACAACAUCACAAUUUGAACUGUUUACUCU